CCUACGGGUGACAGCAGUGAGGAAUAUUGGUCAAUGGACGCAAGUCUGAACCAGCCAUGCCGCGUGCAGGAAGACGGCUCUAUGAGUUGUAAACUGCUUUUGUACGAGGGUAAACGCAGAUACGUGUAUCUGUCUGAAAGUAUGUACGAAUAAGGAUCGGCUAACUUCGUGCCAACAGCCGCGGUUAUACGGAGGAUUCAAGCUUUAUCCGGAUUUAUUGGGUUUAAAGGGUGCGUAGGCGGUCGGAUAAGUUAGCUGUGAAAUCCCAAGGCUCAACUUCGGAAUUGCCUCUGAUACUGUUCGGCUAGAGAAUAGGUGCGGUAGGCGGAAUGUAUGGUGUAGCGGUGAAAUGCUUAGAGAUCAUACAGAACACCGAUGGCGAAGGCAGCUUACCAAGCUACUUCUGACGUUGAGGCACGAAAGCGUGGGGAGCAAACAGGAUUAGAUACCCGAGUAGUC
rnacentral:rRNA from 1 species